rnacentral:misc_RNA from 1 species
CUAACGCUCCAGCUCUGUGGGCACAUUCAAUUGAUUCAAAUGCCCGACAAUCUUUUCAAUUAUUUCUUAUCACCUACGGCACCAAGGCAAAUGCACAUACACUGACAGAAAUUCUGUAGAGGAUAAGAGGAGCAUGCCAAAUUAAAAAAAAAAUAAUGAAGAUGAAACUUCUGUUGUUAAUUAGUCAUGAAUUGCUUGCCUUAUAAAAACUAUUUGUUAUCCCCAUUAAACUAUAUUAGAUGUAAUUUACUAUAAAUUCAAUUGGAAGACGUAAUGUGCUUUUAUAGCUUGCCAAUGUGUUUGAUUUAUUGUAAAUGUAGUAGGUAGUAAUUUUUAUAUCUUUUGCCAAGCGAUCUUUUUUCCAGUGCACUUUCAUGGCUGGCUGACAACAUUGUUGCAAGUUUCUGACCAAGUUACUAAUGGCAUUCGAUGAUUUUGUUGGUUUUGCCUUGAUUCUUCCUCCAGCCUGAGAUGCUUAGCAUAUUCAGCUAUUUGAGGAUCAAACGAGUAUCUUAACGAUCCCGGCCAACGACAUUCGAUUGAUAUAAAUUUUGAGCCAACUUUCUGCUAUCACCACAACUUGUCCUGGCUCUUUGAAUUGUUCGGUCGGUGGCUGCCAGUUUUAAGAGCGGUCGAUGCACAUUUUCGGCUUUCAACGAAUUUUUGCGUUUAGCCAUCGAUUCAAAGCUUUUCGGCGGAUGGCAGCAGUUUGAUUAAUUACCAUGGCCAAUGCGAAGGAAAAUCGCUGUACGAGUUUUGUUUGGCGGUGCUGUGGCAAAUUGUACACAAGUUCCGGCGAAAUGGAAAAAAAACCAUUGACAAAUGUCUGGCAGGACUGCCGCCUUCUAGGCCC